GCAGUGGUGGUUCAGUGGUAGGAUUCUCACCUUCCGUGUGAGAGACCUGGGUUCAAGUCCCUGCCAAUGCA
rnacentral:tRNA from 1 species